CCAAAACCAUUGCUUUGGUCUGGUGGGCGUUCUUUUAGUGGGCUUUUCUGUCACGGCCUGCGUGGCAGACUAUGAUGAGGGGAAGGAGGACCCAAAUGCUGGACUCUUUGAUGAGUGUCUGAGCACCCCGUGCUCGCUGCCCUCUCGUCUCCACACUCCUCCUGGGGAAUAACAAAGAGGCAGCCAUCAGCAACACCACAAUGCGGCAGACUAACCUUAACUAACUCGCCAAGAGACUAACGUGAAGUUACGCAGUGAUCCAGCAUCGGAGAGAGCUCCACCACACUCCUAAGUAGCUCCUCUGACGAGGCUUGAUCAGCUGCAGGUGUGAGUAAUUCUCCUCCGCAGGUGUGGCCAGGCUCCUGGCUGACACACACACACACACAC